GACAUUUUGAAAAAUUUCGCUUUGUUUUAUCCGAGUAAAACCCAGACCAAAUCCCCUUUAAUUCCCGUCCAAUUCGACCCGGCCCACUCGCCCCUUCGCCCCAUUUAGUAGAGAAAAGCAACGCUGAACAGUGAUCCAAAAACGCGGAAGAGCAUCGCACGUGAAUAGUUAACCAAACGAAUUAUGCUCCUUCUCCAGUCUGGGGUUUUCCUUUUCUCGUACGAUUCCUACAACUAUGGCAGGUUCCCACCACGCGUCGUGCUGGAGCUUUGGAAUUGAGCCAUAUUAUAUCCAAGGACGAAGAAGGUGAUCCCAAUCGUCCACCUUAUAUUUCUAUCCGUUCAAUUGGAGGAUCGUUUGGGAAUUUUAAAGAUUUUUGGGACAAAUUUGAAGGAAUUUCAAACCUUUGGUUGAAAACUUAGUUUUGCCCUUGUCCUUUUCCUCCUAAAAGAUGAACCCUAAUUCACCCCCCUAUAUAUAUUUUGGUAUCUCUAGUGUUCUGUGGGGAAUUUUUUUUUAGGGUUAAAAACAAUUAUUGUGCGAAGCUUUUGUGUGAAGAGUAAAAUAGCCUGCAAAUUAUACAACAAAUACAUUCGCAACAAAUAUCAUUGUGAUUUUGGUCGUUUUGUUCGCUAAAUCCAAAGAGUGAUCUCGAUCGGGUGUCUAAGGUGUGAAGGUGGUCGUUCUUCCGUUCGUCUUGUCACCAGCUUUGCCGCCCCGUUAAAGGUCUCGAGUUGGAAGGAUUCAAAAAUCAGGAAGUCGAAGAUUUGAAGAAGUUAUGCCAAAGGACAUCCACUUUAUCUUCUUUCAUAUUUGUAUUUUGUUAUUUUGGGCCUAAGCCCUUGUCAUUUUUUAUUUUCUUGUAUUUCUUAUUUAUUAUUAUUAUAUGUUUAGUCUAGGACAGGUACGAAAGAAACUGGGUCGAAUACCCAAAAGUCAAAUGGGUCGAAAACCAAAGACAGGCGGGUCGAAAUACUGGUAAAGGCGAACAGUAAGCCCGGAUUUGGACCCAAAUGUCUCUCUCUGUCUCUCUCUUUACUUGCUUUUAUUUGCUUAUAUGA